UAUGAAUAGUAGUAUUAGUAUAAUUUAAAUCAACUAAUAUACAAUAUAAGUGAAAUCAAUUUAUGUCUGUGGUCACUCAAGGGAUCUUGUUACAAAGCAUGUUUACCACCAUCUAAUAUCGUGUUUGGUAAUAUUUUCAGAGUUUCCGAGACAACUCAAUCCAUAAUAUUUGAAGAAAUUUUUAAAUGUCGAUUUUGACGUAAAAUUUUUCCAGCACUAAUACAAAUAAAGUUUACGUCGUCAGAUGCAAAGUGCAAGCCUCCACGAUUUUUUAGUUUAGUUAAUUUGGAAUUGCUGCUAUUAUCCGUAUUCUUUUCUAUCAUAGCAACGCACUGUUUACAAUGAAUUUUAUUCUUCAAUGAAAAUACUAUAGAACCGCUAAUAUGUUUGACUACUUCAUCGAUAUAUUCUGUGGAACACCAACCUUCUUUUUUGGUAUAAUCAUCAUGUAUACUAGAGUACAGGAGUCCAAUCUCUAAGGCGGAGAG